CACGUAGGCGGACUGGAAAGUCAGGGGUGAAAUCCCCGAGCUUAACUUGGGAAUUGCAUUCGAUACUGGGAAGCUAGAGUAUGGGAGAGGAUGGUAGAAUUCCAGGUGUAGCGGUGAAAUGCGUAGAGAUCUGGAGGAAUACCGAUGGCGAAGGCAGCCAUCUGGCCUAAUACUGACGCUGAGGUACGAAAGCAUGGGGAGCAAACAGGAUUAGAUACCCCCGUA
rnacentral:rRNA from 1 species